GGUUCAGUCUGGGCAAGUCAGGUGCGGCGGCGUGUUCACAUGUGUACUUUGGUAUGCUAUGUGUGAAUUGCUGCUGAUCCGCAUCGCAUUUUGCCGAUUGACGCGCUGCUUGUCUUUGUCUUGGUUGCAAUCAUAGCAACGUAUGCCGGUCGACUUUGUCGAUUCUGGCAAAUUGAUAGUGGUGUUGCACUUUUGUGCACGUACAUGGGAAACAUUUCGUCUUGGCGAAGUGUUAGUCAGCUUGGACAAAGAUUGUCAAACUCUGGUCCGGCGGCUUGUUGAUAGUCAUGUGCUUACAGCGGUUUUGGUGUGCUGUGGCUUCGGUUGCAGUAUGGCAAGGAUUGUUGUGUGGUGCAUGGUGUUUGUCGGUUGUUCGGAAUGAAAAGCAGGCCAUGUUGUGGCAUCAUUUGAACCGUCUUGAAACACGGGCUAAGGAGUUCAACAAAUGUGCAAGUUAUCUGGUCGAUUGAAACCAGACAGCGCAGUGAAAGCAAGUUGGUUUAUAAUUGUGAUAACUGUUAACACAGUUGUGUUAAUGGAUCAUCACUUUUGAUGGAUGGCACGUAAGGUACCGGUUGUCGUUCGCAAUCGAGCGCAUAUGUUGAGACCCGAAAGAUGGUGAACUAUGCCUGAGUAGGAUGAAGCCGGAGGAAACUCUGGUGGAGGUCCGUAGCGUUUUUGACGUGCAAAUCAAUCGUCAGACUUGGGUAUAGGGGCGAAAGACUAAUCGAACCAUCUAGUAGCUGGUUCCCUUCGAAGUUUCCCCCAGGAAAGCUGGUGUUGUAUCAGACAGUUUCGUCUGGUAAAGCGAAUGAUUAGAGGCAUUGGGGAUGAAUUGUCCUCGACCUAUUCUCAAACUUUAAAUGGGCGAAGAGCUCUGACACUACUUGAUUGAGUGUCGAGCUAGAAUGCAAUGGCACCAAGUGGGCCACUUUUGGUAAGCAGAACUGGCGAUGUGGGAUGAACCAAACGUUGAGCUAAGAUGCCAAAAAUGCCUCUCAUGAGAUACCAUGAAAGGUGUCAGUCGAUACUGACAGCAGGACGGUGGCCGCAGAAGUAGGAAUCCGCUAAGGAGUGUGUAACAACUCACCUGCCGAAUCGACUGGCCCUGAAAAUGGAUGGCGCUAGAGACGCAUAUCGAUGCUCAACCGUCAAUGCCAACAAAUACAGCGAAUGCAAUAUGGCUUGGCGUGUAGAAGGGCGAUUGCGGUGGCGUCGAAACCUGCACCGUGAGGUGGGGUUGAGCCGCCGCAUGUGCAGAUCUUGGUGGUAGUAGCAANNNNNNNNNNNNNNNNNNNNNNNACUGAAGUGGAGUAAGGUUCCAUGUGAACAACAUUUGAACAUGGAUCAGCCGAUCCUAAGAGAACGGUUAAGUUCGUGAUUAAGUGCGUUGCGUUGUGCAAUGCAAUCGAAAGGGAAUCGGGUUAAUAUUCCCGAGCCAGGAUACGGUUGAUGUUCAACAUUCCAGAAGUGCCUCGUGCACUGAUGGUGUUGUGCAUAAGUGGUAACACUAACAAACCCAGAAAUUAACUAUACGAAGUCCGGGGAAGAGUUUUCUCUUCUUUGUAAGGAAUGUUAUCCCUGGAAUCAGAUUGUCUGGCGAUAGGGUACGCAUUCCGUAAUGCAGCGCGAUUCCUGCGAUGUACCGUGCGCUUCGUAUAGUGCUUGAAAAUCUGGGGGCGCGAUAGUUCAGACCGUACCUGUUCGUACUGAUUUCCGCAGCAGGUCUCCAAGGUGAGCAGCCUCUAGUCAAUAGGACAAAGUAGACAAGGGAAGUCGGCAAAUUAGAUCCGUAACUUCGGAAAAAGGAUUGGCUCUAAAAGCUGAGCUGGUCGGGCUAUCGCAAUAAGCUGUUAGCUUUGUCUUGGCUCUGUCUCAGUUGCUGUAUGCUCGCAAGGGUGUCGGCUUCGAGGACGGACCUCGGUUUUGCGUUCUGUGUAAGGUGAUGGCUAUGCUGCCUGGUUGAUGAGUGAUCAACUUCCAGGUAGAUCCGAUCAGCGUUAAACAGCUGACCUAGAACUGGUAUGGACAAGGGGAAUCCAACUGUUUAAUUAAAACAAAGCAUUGCGAUAGCUGUAAUCGGUGUUGACGCAAUGUGAUUUCUGCCCAGUGCUCUGAAUGUUAAAGUGAAGAAA
rnacentral:rRNA from 1 species